GCAAUGGACGGAAGUCUGACCGAGCAACGCCGCGUGAGUGAAGAAGGUUUUCGGAUCGUAAAGCUCUGUUGUAAGAGAAGAACGAGUGUGAGAGUGGAAAGUUCACACUGUGACGGUAUCUUACCAGAAAGGGACGGCUAACUACGUGCCAGCAGCCGCGGUAAUACGUAGGUCCCGAGCGUUGUCCGGAUUUAUUGGGCGUAAAGCGAGCGCAGGCGGUCAGAUAAGUCUGAAGUUAAAGGCUGUGGCUUAACCAUAGUACGCUUUGGAAACUGUUUAACUUGAGUGCAAGAGGGGAGAGUGGAAUUCCAUGUGUAGCGGUGAAAUGCGUAGAUAUAUGGAGGAACACCGGUGGCGAAAGCGGCUCUCUGGCUUGUAACUGACGCUGAGGCUCGAAAGCGUGGGGAGCAAACAGGAUUAGAUACCCUGGUAGUCCACGCCGUAAACGAUGAGUGCUAGGUGUUAGACCCUUUCCGGGGUUUAGUGCCGCAGCUAACGCAUUAAGCACUCCGCCUGGGGAGUACGACCGCAAGGUUGAAACUCAAAGGAAUUGACGGAAUC
rnacentral:rRNA from 1 species